GUGGUUGUGGUUCAGUGGUAGAAUGCUCGCCUAGCAUGUGUGAGGCACUGGGUUUGAUGCUCAGCACCACA
rnacentral:tRNA from 1 species